rnacentral:rRNA from 1 species
UCUUUUCCUUUUUUUCCCUCCUCCUCUUUCCUCCUUCUUUUUCGCGCGUUGUCCGGCCUUCUUGGGCGUCCCGCGCCUGUAGGCGGCUUAAUAAGUCGAGCGUGAAAAUGCGGGGCUCAACCCCGUAUGGCGCUGGAAACUGUUAGGCUUGAGUGCAGGAGAGGAAAGGGGAAUUCCCAGUGUAGCGGUGAAAUGCGUAGAUAUUGGGAGGAACACCAGGGGCGAAGGCGCCGGGCGGGACGGGGGAGGAAGAGGAGAGGAGAAAGAAAGGGGAGAGAACGGG